rnacentral:rRNA from 1 species
GAAACGACUGCUAAGACUGGAUAGGAAACAGAAGGAUAACCUUUUAUUUUUAAAAGACCUUCUUCGGAAGGUAUGCUUAAAGAAGGGCUUGCGCCACAUUAGUUAGUUGGUAGGGUAAAAGCCUACCAAGACUAUGAUGUGUAGCUGGACUGAGAGGUUGAACAGCCACAUUGGGACUGAGACACGGCCCAAACUCCUACGGGAGGCAGCAGUAGGGAAUUUUCGGCAAUGGAGGAAACUCUGACCGAGCAACGCCGCGUGAACGAAGAAGUAUUUAGGUAUGUAAAGUUCUUUUAUUGAAGAAGAAAAAAUAGUGGAAAAACUAUCUUGACGCUAUUCAAUGAAUAAGCCCCGGCUAACUAUGUGCCAGCAGCCGCGGUAAGACAUAGGGGGCGAGCGUUAUCCGGAAUUAUUGGGCGUAAAGGGUGCGUAGGCGGUUAGAUAAGUCUAUAAUUUAAUUUCAGUGCUUAACGCUGUUCUGUUAUAGAAACUGUCUAGCUAGAGUGAGAUAGAGGCAAGUGGAAUCCCAUGUGUAGCGGUAAAAUGUGUAAAUAUAUGGAGGAACACCAGAAGCGUAGGCGGCUUGCUGGGUCUUUACUGACGCUGAGGCACGAAAGCGUGGGUAGCAAACAGGAUUAGAUACCCUGGUAGUCCACGCCGUAAACGAUGAGUACUAAGUGUCGGGGUUAAACUCGGUACUGAAGUUAACACACUAAGUACUCCGCCUGAGUAGUACGUACGCAAGUAUGAAACUUAAAGGAAUUGACGGGACUCCGCACCAGCGGUGGAUCAUGUUGUUUAAUUCGAAGAUACACGAAAAACCUUACCAGGUCUUGACAUACUCUGCAAAGCUAUAGAAAUAUAGUGGAGGUUAUCAGGGAUACAGGUGGUGCAUGGUUGUCGUCAGCUCGUGUCGUGAGAUGUUAGGUUAAGUCCUAAAACGAGCGCAACCCUUGUCGUUAAUUGCCAGCACGUUAUGGUGGGGACUUUAGCGAGACUGCCAAUUAAAAAUUGGAGGAAGGUGAGGAUUACGUCAAAUCAUCAUGCCCCUUAUGAUCUGGGCUACAAACGUGAUACAAUGGCUGUUACAAAGAGUAGCUGAAAUGCGAGUUUUUAGCCAAUCUCAAAAAAGCAGUCUCAGUUCGGAUUGAAGUCUGCAACUCGACUUCAUGAAGUUGGAAUCGCUAGUAAUCGCGAAUCAGCAUGUCGCGGUGAAUACGUUCACGGGGUUUGUACACACCGCCCGUCA